GUAAUAUAUCGGAACGUGCCCAGUCGUGGGGGAUAACGUAGCGAAAGUUACGCUAAUACCGCAUACGAUCUAAGGAUGAAAGCGGGGGACCGUAAGGCCUCGCGCGAUUGGAGCGGCCGAUAUCAGAUUAGGUAGUUGGUGGGGUAAAGGCUCACCAAGCCAACGAUCUGUAGCUGGUCUGAGGGGACGACCAGCCACACUGGAACUGAGACACGGUCCAGACUCCUACGGGAGGCAGCAGUGGGGAAUUUUGGACAAUGGACGCAAGUCUGAUCCAGCCAUUCCGCGUGCAGGAUGAAGGCCCUCGGGUUGUAAACUGCUUUUGUACGGAACGAAAAGGUCUCUCUUAAUACGAGGGGCUCAUGACGGUACCGUAAGAAUAAGCACCGGCUAACUACGUGCCAGCAGCCGCGGUAAUACGUAGGGUGCAAGCGUUAAUCGGAAUUACUGGGCGUAAAGCGUGCGCAGGCGGUUAUGUAAGACAGAGGUGAAAUCCCCGGGCUCAACCUGGGAACUGCCUUUGUGACUGCAUAGCUAGAGUACGGUAGAGGGGGAUGGAAUUCCGCGUGUAGCAGUGAAAUGCGUAGAUAUGCGGAGGAACACCGAUGGCGAAGGCAAUCCCCUGGACCUGUACUGACGCUCAUGCA
rnacentral:rRNA from 1 species